rnacentral:rRNA from 1 species
UAGGGAAUCUUCCGCAAUGGACGCAAGUCUGACGGAGCAACGCCGCGUGAGUGAAGAAGGAUUUCGGUUCGUAAAACUCUGUUGUUAGAGAAGAACAGCGCAUUGAGUAACUGUUAUGCGCGUGACGGUAUCUAACCAGAAAGCCACGGCUAACUACGUGCCAGCAGCCGCGGUAAUACGUAGGUGGCAAGCGUUGUCCUGAUUUAUUGGGCGUAAAGCGCGCGCAGGCGGUCAAGUAAGUCUGGUGUGAAAGCCCCCGGCUAAACCGGGUAGGGUCAAUGGAAACUGGUUGGCUUGAGUGGGGAAGAAGAGGGUGGAAUUCCAUGUGUAGGGGUGAAAUGUGUAGAUAUAUGGAGGAACACCGGUGGCGAAGGCGACUCUCUGGUCUGUAACAGACGCUGAGGCUAGAAAGCGUGGGUAGCAAACAGG